rnacentral:ncRNA from 1 species
GUAGUGGUUUUUGUGUGAUGGCAUUUUUUAAAUCUGCCCCUAAUAAGAUUCUCCUAGCCUUAUUGGUGUAGGUUAUUGAACUUAUGCACAUGUAAAAGUAGCGGUCAUCUGGGU